GCUGGCGGCGUGCCUAACACAUGCAAGUCGAACGCGAAAGCCCCGCAAGGGGUAAGUAGAGUGGCAAACGGGUGAGUAACACGUGGGUGACCUGCCUUCGAGUGGGGGAUAACGUCCCGAAAGGGACGCUAAUACCGCAUGACAUCCUGCCUUUGGAAAGGCGGAGAUCAAAGCCGGGGAUCGCAAGACCUGGCGCUUGAAGAGGGGCCCGCGCCAAUAUUAGCUAGUUGGUAGGGUAACGGCCUACCAAGGCAACGAUCAGUAUCCGGCCUGAGAGGGCGGACGGACACACUGGGACUGAGACACGGCCCAGACUCCUACGGGAGGCAGCAGUGGGGAAUUGUUCGCAAUGGGCGCAAGCCUGACGACGCAACGCCGCGUGGAGGACGAAGAUCUUCGGGUCGUAAACUCCUGUCGAGCGGGACGAACACUCAUCCGGUGAAUAUCCGGAAGGGCUGACGGUACCGCUAAAGGAAGCCCCGGCUAACUCCGUGCCAGCAGCCGCGGUAAUACGGGGGGGGCAAGCGUUGUUC
rnacentral:rRNA from 1 species